GCCCAAGCUCAGUGGCAGAGCAUCUGCUUUGCAUACAAAAGGUCCCAGGUUCAAUCCCUGACCUCUCCAGGUGGGGCU